GACCGCGUAGCUCAGUUGGAAGAGCAUUGGGCUAGUAUUCCAAAGGUCGUAGGUUCGAAUCCUACCAUGGCCG